GAUGAACGCUGACAGAAUGCUUAACACAUGCAAGUCAACUUGAACUUCGGUUUGGGUGGCGGACGGGUGAGUAACGCGUAAAGAACUUGCCUCACAGCUAGGGACAACAUUUGGAAACGAAUGCUAAUACCUGAUAUUAUGAUUUUAGGGCAUCCUAGAAUUAUGAAAGCUAUAUGCGCUGUGAGAGAGCUUUGCGUCCCAUUAGCUAGUUGGAGAGGUAACGGCUCACCAAGGCGAUGAUGGGUAGCCGGCCUGAGAGGGUGAACGGCCACAAGGGGACAAGAGCGCCGCCCUUCCCCCUGACGGGGGCAGACAGUGGGGAUUAUGGGAAAAGGACCAAAGAGUUAGAUAGUGCAUUUUUGUUGACAGAAUAAAUUUUUGGGAAAUAAAAAGGGUUUUCAGUGGAAAAAAAAAAAAUGAGGUUCAAAAAAAAAAAGGGGACCACUAAAUAGGUC
rnacentral:rRNA from 1 species